rnacentral:rRNA from 1 species
CCAAUAGCGUAUAUUAAAGUUGUUGCAGUUAAAAAGCUCGUAGUUGAACUUCAGGCCUGGCUGGACGGUCCGUCCUCUGGGUGAGCACUGUCUGUGGUCGGGUCCUACCUUCUGGCGAAGCGGCAUGGCCUUAACCGGCCGUGGCGGGGAACCAGGACUUUUACUUUGAAAAAAUUAGAGUGUUUACAGCAGGCUCGCGCUUGAAUACAUUAGCAUGGAAUAAUGAAAUAGGACGUUCGAUCCUAUUUUGUUGGUUUCUAGGAUUGACGUAAUGAUUAAUAGGGAUAGUUGGGGGCAUUAGUAUUCAAUUGUCAGAGGUGAAAUUCUUGGAUUUAUUGAAGACUAGCUACUGCGAAAGCAUUUGCCAAGGAUGUUUUCAUUAAUCAAGAACGAAAGUUAGGGGAUCGAAGACGAUCAGAUACCGUCGUAGUCUUAACCAUAAACUAUGCCGACUAGGGAUCGGAUGAUGUUAAUUUUUUAAUGACUCAUUCGGCGCCUUACG